UAUGUGCUGGGAUGACUCGUCCUCCUAACAUGAAUGUGUCAUCAGCCAGCAUCGUGUCAGCCAGGCGCCGGCAGAUUUCACAAAGGCUUCAGAAUUGACUUAAAAGGAGAAGAAUUGCUCUGAAACAUUCACAACGUUAAACAUGUUUCAGGUUUACACAUGAACAGAGAAACAACCUGAGUCUGAACGCAGCGUGACCCACAGACCGCCGUCAAACGGCAUCACUCGUUUUCUUGCUUUGAUAUUCUGAAGGAACAUCCCAACACUGGAGAACUGGUGCCAGACCUUCUCUGGAUUAGGCCGGGUCAGGUCUUAUGUAAAUCCCAGACUGUGGGUCAGGUUGCCAGGGAGAUGGCUCCUGAUGACACUGGUGGUUUGCAACCAAAGCUCAGAUGCUUCUGAGAUGUUAGGUUAUGUGAUGCUGCACUUUCUCUACAGAGCUUUAAGCUUCCGUCUGCAUUGAACCUUUUGCUCAUUUUGCAUCACUUAGCUGGGCUGAGGUGGUAUUCUGGAGCAGAAUGCAUGUUGAACCCAACACACUCCUUCCUCAUAGGCUUACGUCGUAAACUAGAGGCUUUCUGAAGACAUUUAGAAGGGAUCCAAAGCAGAAAACUAAGAUUAAAAUAAAUGUUAUAGCUGCUGCCAGAGGACUAUUUGUGUCACUAUGGUAACCACCUUUAGCUCUUAUGAGCUAAGUCAAGCUGGGAAUUUGAUACCAUUCCAGCACAAACUAGAAAGCAACUGCUGAUUCUCCGUUCAAGUGGAGCCACCUGAAAAUGUCCCGGAGCUCCCGAUGGCCAGUCUACCACUGGUGACAACGCUUCUGUGUCUCUCGCUCCAUGACAGGAAAACACAAUGACAGGAAAGGACUUUUAAGAAGUCAUCCUCAGACAAACAGCUUCCUUGUUUCUGUGAUGUUGUAUGUAGGAGACAUGUAUGGGAUUAGAUUUGUGCCAAUAGGAUCAAGAAAAACACUUUGGAGAGCAAACAAAUUUUAAGACACUGAGAGAAAAAACCUUGGUUUCAAAAGAAAAACUUACGAUCUGAAUCAGAUUCUUAAAAUGAUCAAGAAAAUCACUGUGACGGUCAAACAAAAAUUAAGAAAUUGACAGAACAAAAAUAUUGACUAAAGGAAAAAAGCAUGUUUCAAAAGUAAAACUUACUACCUGAAUAAACUUCUUAAAAUGAGUAACAAAGUAUGUUUCCUUUUUCUGUUUGCCUCUAUGUGUUUUUGUUAUCAAUUUCCUUAGUUUUGUUCUCUCUGCUCAGAGCUUUGCUCUCACUUCCAGAUUUGCACUUACACUGUCUGGCUUUCUCCUUUGCAAUCCCUGAGUUUUUGGUUGCAAUUCUGACACAACCCUUUCGGGUGGGCGGGACUUCUGAGAAGUCCUCUCCCAUAGGACAGUGGUUUCUCUUGAGUGACAGUUCAGUGACCUGGAAGUGAUGUAGCCUCCAAGACAUUUUUUUCCCACCUGGUCAACAACAUGAAUUUUGAGCCCCAAACAGGUUAUUUCUGCUGUCUGUGGUGUCUACUGAGGAUCUAAAGAACCUGUGGAACAUUAGAGACUUUGCAGCUACUGGAGCUAACCUGUGUACUGCUAACUUGCUACAGAGGAAGCAGCAGAAAGCUGAGCUAACAGGCUGUUUUGCAGUGAAACGAAUGGAUUUUAUGAUGUAACUCUGACUGAAUAAUUAUCUAAAUUGAAAACUGCUGCAUUGCAUUACAAUGGAAGUGCUACACAGCCACAUGCAUCAACUGCAGCUGUUGACAAGCAUAUGGACCUAUUGUUCGAGUCCGUGGUGGUGGAUGCUCUACCAUAUCAGGAGUCUGACUAAGUACCUGUGCCUGAACCUCUCUGUGUCUAGUUCAAAAGACCUGAAAGACCUGCUGUAAGCAGGCACAGGAUAAGAUUUUAAAAGAACCUGUAAGGUUGCCUGAUGCUGAACUUCGGGCAGCUGCGUGCUCAGUGGAACAACCGCCUGUGGGAGGAGUCGUUGUGUUGCUGUUAGGAGUUUGGGUCGGAGUCCUGGGUUUGUGUUCCCUUUAAUCUCUUCAUUAGCCUUGCUAGUCACCAUUGCAGAGCACCAUGGAGAGGCUUACCUGAAAACUCUUCUCAUGGGGCAGGCACAUCCUCACACACCUGUAACCCCAUCCUUGAAUAAAAGCUGGUAGCUGGUCACUCAUCAGUGUUUUAACCCAUAUCUAGCCCAUGACUCUGCCGUUUUUCAAACUUACGUUCUCAUGUUCUAUGCAGAUCUAUGGGAAUUCUUUCCUUGAAGCUCCUGAUCACACAACCAUACUGGCAGUCGGCUUACCCACUACCUUCUGCUCACCCGCUUGCUACUCAUGCUGUCAUUCUCCCAGACUUCUGGUUGUUUCUCCACCAUUCUGCUGUCUCCCGUCUGCGCUACAAUUUCAGACCGUAAGUACCUAAACUUUUCCUUUUGUAAGUCAUUCUUUAGUCAUUACUAACACUCAAUUUUACCUCAGGGCCUUCUGAUCUUUAAACACUAAAACCUGUGGCUCCAUCUCUGUGGUGUUUCUCAGACUCUAAGCUCCUGGUUCCUGAUCUCCAGCAGUUACCUCUUCAGUCAUCCGUCAAACAUUUUAAUAAACUGUUUUUAGCUCA